GACAGAGGAUGCAAGCGUUAUCCGGAAUGAUUGGGCGUAAAGCGUCUGUAGGUGGCUUUUAAGUCCGCCGUCAAAUCCCAGGGCUCAACCCUGGACAGGCGGUGGAAACUACCAAGCUGGAGUACGGUAGGGCAGAGGGAAUUCCGGUGGAGCGGUGAAAUGCGUAGAGAUCGGAAAGAACACCAACGCGAAGCACUCUGCUGGCCGACACUGACACUGAGAGACGAAGCUAGGGAGCGAAUGG
rnacentral:rRNA from 1 species